UAGAGUUUGAUCAUGGCUCAGAUUGAACGCUGGCGGCAGGCCUAACACAUGCAAGUCGAACGGUAACAGGAAUCAGCUUGCUGAUUCGCUGACGAGUGGCGGACGGGUGAGUAAUGUCUGGGAAACUGCCUGAUGGAGAGGGAUAACUACUGGAAACGGUAGCUAAUACCGCAUAACGUCGCAAGACCAAAGAGGGGGACCUUCGGGCCUCUUGCCAUCGGAUGUGCCCAGAUGGGAUUAGCUAGUAGGUGGGGUAACGGCUCACCUAGGCGACGAUCCCUAGCUGGUCUGAGAGGAUGACCAGCCACACUGGAACUGAGACACGGUCCAGACUCCUACGGGAGGCAGCAGUGGGGAAUAUUGCACAAUGGGCGCAAGCCUGAUGCAGCCAUGCCGCGUGUAUGAAGAAGGCCUUCGGGUUGUAAAGUACUUUCAGCGGGGAGGAAGGGAGUAAAGUUAAUACCUUUGCUCAUUGACGUUACCCGCAGAAGAAGCACCGGCUAACUCCGUGCCAGCAGCCGCGGUAAUACAA
rnacentral:rRNA from 1 species